rnacentral:sRNA from 1 species
UGGUACUGUGUUCAAAAAUGCUUUGGAC